rnacentral:sRNA from 1 species
AACUAUCUGCAAUUGGUGGUGAUGAAGGAACUGCAUGGGACGACGGUGCGUACGAUGGUGUCAAGAAGGUGUACGUAGGACAAGGCCAAGAUGGGAUAUCAGCCGUUAAGUUUGAGUACAACAAAGGCGCGGAGAAUAUCGUAGGAGGUGAACAUGGAAAGCCUACUUUACUCGGAU